AUUGAACGCUGGCGGCAGGCCUAAAACAUGCAAGUCGAGCGGAGCGGCGGACGGGUGAGUAAUGCCUAGGAAUCUGCCUGGUAGUGGGGGAUAACGUCCGGAAACGGGCGCUAAUACCGCAUACUAGCAGAUGAGCCAAGAUUGGCUUAGCUAGUGGGUGGGGGAAAGGCCUACCAAGGCGACGAUCCGUAACUGGUCUGAGAGGAUGUUCAGUCACAUUGGAACUGAGACACGGUCCAGCCUCCUACGGGAGGCAGCAUUGGGGAAUAUUGGACAAUGGGCGAAAGCCUGAUCCAGCCAUGCCGCGUGUGUGAAGAAGGUCUUCGGAUUGUAAAGCACUUUAAGUUGGGAGGCGUUACCAACAGAAUAAGCACCGGCUAACUUCGUGCCAGCCGCCGCGGUAAUUC
rnacentral:rRNA from 1 species